rnacentral:rRNA from 1 species
GGGCGCAAGCNUGAUCCAGCCAUGCCGCGUGAGUGAUGAAGGCCUUCGGGUUGUAAAGCUCUUUUGUCAGGGAAGAAACGGAUGAGGUUAAUACCUUCGGCUAAUGACGGUACCUGAAGAAUAAGCACCGGCUAACUACGUGCCAGCAGCCGCGGUAAUACGUAGGGUGCAAGCGUNAAUCGGAAUUACUGGGCGUAAAGCGUGCGCAGGCGGUUUUGUAAGUCUGACGUGAAAUCCCCGGGCUCAACCUGGGAAUUGCGUUGGAGACUGCAAGGCUGGAGUCUGGCAGAGGGGGGUAGAAUUCCACGUGUAGCAGUGAAAUGCGUAGANAUGUGGAGGAACACCGAUGGCGAAGGCANNCCCCUGGGUCAAGACUGACGCUCAUGCACGAAAGCGUGGGGAGCACACAGGAUUAGAUACCCUGGUAGUCCACGCCCUAAACGAUGUCUACUAGUUGUCG